AGUGAACGCUGGCGGUAGGCCUAACACAUGCAAGUCGAACGGCAGCACAGUAAGAGCUUGCUCUUACGGGUGGCGAGUGGCGGACGGGUGAGGAAUACAUCGGAAUCUACUUUUUCGGGGGGGAUAACGUAGGGACACUUACGCUAAUACCGCAUACGACCUACGGGUGAAAGCAGGGGAUCUUCGGACCUUGCGCGAUUGAAUGAGCCGAUGUCGGAUUAGCUAGUUGGCGGGGUAAAGGCCCACCAAGGCGACGAUCCGUAGCUGGUCUGAGAGGAUGAUCAGCCACACUGGAACUGAGACACGGUCCAGACACCUACGGGAGGCAGCAGUGGGGAAUAUUGGACAAUGGGCGAAAGCCUGAUCCAGCCACACCGCGUGAGUGAAGAAGGCCUUCGGGUUGUAAAGCCCUUUUGUUGGGAAAGAAAAGCAGCAGGUUAAUACCCCGCUGUUCUGACGGUACCCAAAGAAUAAGCACCGGCUAACUUCGUG
rnacentral:rRNA from 1 species